ACUCCUACGGGAGGCAGCAGUAGGGAAUCUUCCGCAAUGGGCGAAAGCCUGACGGAGCAACGCCGCGUGAGUGAAGAAGGAUUUCGGUUCGUAAAGCUCUGUUGUUAGGGAAGAAUGAUUAUGUAGUAACUAUACAUAGUAGAGACGGUACCUAACCAGAAAGCCACGGCUAACUACGUGCCAGCAGCCGCGGUAAUACGUAGGUGGCAAGCGUUGUCCGGAAUUAUUGGGCGUAAAGCGCGCGCAGGUGGUUUAAUAAGUCUGAUGUGAAAGCCCACGGCUCAACCGUGGAGGGUCAUUGGAAACUGUUAAACUUGAGUGCAGGAGAGAAAAGUGGAAUUCCUAGUGUAGCGGUGAAAUGCGUAGAGAUUAGGAGGAACACCAGUGGCGAAGGCGGCUUUUUGGCCUGUAACUGACACUGAGGCGCGAAAGCGUGGGGAGCAAACAGGAUUAGAUACCCUGGUAGGCGU
rnacentral:rRNA from 1 species